ensembl:lncRNA
GAGAGACGUGCCUCUAGCAAGGAGGGAGAGAGACGUGCCUCUAGCAAGGAGGGAGAGAGAGAGACGUGCCUCUAGCAGGGAGGGAGAGAGACGUGCCUCUAGCAAGGAGGGAGAGAGACGUGCCUCUAGCAAGGAGGGAGAGAGACGUGCCUCUAGCAAGGAGGGAGAGAGACGUGCCUCUAGCAGGGAGGGAGGGAGAGAGACGUGCCUCUAGCAGGGAGGGAGGGAGAGAGACGUGCCUCUAGCAGGGAGGGAGGGAGAGACGUGCCUCUAGCAGGGAGGGAGAGAGACGUGCCUCUAGCAGGGAGGGAGAGAGACGUGCCUCUAGCAGGGAGGGAGAGAGACGUGCCUCUAGCAGGGAGAGAGAGAGACGUGCCUCUAGCAGGGGAGAGAGAGAGACGUGCCUCUAGCAGGGAGGGAUGGAGAGAGGUGCCUCUAGCAGGGAGGGAGAGAGACGUGCCAUUUAGGAUACAACCAUAAUCCUCUGGGUGAGAGAACAGGAGACCCAGAGAGACUGAUUUCUCAGAAGCAUCGUAAGACUAAUAAAUUCCUCUUUAAAACCUUCGUUAGGAGCAUCAUUAAAUCUCCUUCAAUGUUUCCCAAAACCAUCAUUAUAUUAAUGUUGUACUUGAAAAAGCUUGUUAAAAAAAACAAACAAAUGUCAGCUAAGUGCUAGAUGUUGUACACUGUAAACUCAGAUCUCACUGAACAUACAUCAAGAUGUUGAUCUCUGCCUGACGGUGCCCG